AGAAUCAACGCUGGCGGCGUGCCUAACACAUGCAAGUCGAACGAGAAAGUGGGAGCAAUCCCAUGAGUAAAGUGGCGCACGGGUGAGUAACACGUGACUAACCUACCCUUGAGUGGGGGAUAACCUAGGGAACCUGGGCUAAUACCGCAUAAUACCUACGGGUCAAAGGAGCAAUUCGCUUUAGGAGGGGGUCGCGGCAGAUUAGUUAGUUGGCGGGGUAAUGGCCCACCAGGACAGUGAUCUGUA
rnacentral:rRNA from 1 species